rnacentral:rRNA from 1 species
AUACGGAGGAUCCGAGUGUUAUCCGGAUUUAUUGGGUUUAAAGGGUGCGUAGGUGGUUUGAUAAGUCAGCGGUGAAAGUUUGCAGCUUAACUGUAAAAAUGCCGUUGAAACUGUCGGACUUGAGUGUAAAUGAGGUAGGCGGAAUGCGUGGUGUGGCGGUGAAAUGCAUAGAUAUCACGCAGAACUCCGAUUGCGAAGGCAGCUUACUAAGCUACAACUGACACUGAAGUACGAAAGCGUGGGGAUC